rnacentral:rRNA from 1 species
GAGUUUGAUCAUGGCUCAGAUUGAACGCUGGCGGCAUGCCUUACACAUGCAAGUCGAACGGCAGCACGGGAGCUUGCUCCUGGUGGCGAGUGGCGAACGGGUGAGUAAUGCAUCGGAACGUAUCCUGGAGUGGGGGAUAACGUAGCGAAAGUUACGCUAAUACCGCAUAUUCUGUGAGCAGGAAAGCGGGGGACCUUCGGGCCUCGCGCUCUUGGGGCGGCCGAUGUCGGAUUAGCUAGUUGGUGAGGUAAAGGCUCACCAAGGCGACGAUCCGUAACUGGUCUGAGAGGAUGAUCAGUCACACUGGAACUGAGACACGGUCCGGACUCCUACGGGAGGCAGCAGUGGGGAAUAUUGGACAAUGGGCGAAAGCCUGAUCCAGCCAUGCCGCGUGUGUGAAGAAGGUCUUCGGAUUGUAAAGCACUUUAAGUUGGGAGGAAGGGCAGUAAGUUAAUAACCUUGCUGUUUUGACGUUACCGACAGAGUAAGCACCGGCGUAACUCUGUGCCAG